ensembl:miRNA MIR1292 microRNA 1292
CCUGGGAACGGGUUCCGGCAGACGCUGAGGUUGCGUUGACGCUCGCGCCCCGGCUCCCGUUCCAGG